rnacentral:tRNA from 1 species
GCGCUUGUAGCUCAGUGGGGUAGGGCGCUGGCCCCAUAUGCCAGAGGUGGCGGGUUCAAACCCAGCCCUGGCCA